rfam:Picea glauca, whole genome shotgun sequence.
GAUCCCAUGGUCUAGUGGUCACGACAUUGGACUCUAAAUCAAGUAACCCAAGUUCAAGUCUCGGUGGGAGCU